UACGGAGGGUGCGAGCGUUGUCCGGAAUCACUGGGCGUAAAGGGCGCGUAGGCGGCGCGGAAAGUCAACGGUGAAAGCUCGGGGCUCAACCCCGAGUCGGCCGUCGAUACUUCUGUGCUUGAGCACUGUAGAGGCAGGUGGAAUUCCGGGUGUAGCGGUGGAAUGCGUAGAGAUCCGGAAGAACACCGGUGGCGAAGGCGGCCUGCUGGGCAGUUGCUGACGCUGAUGCGCGACAGCGUGGGGAGCAAACAGG
rnacentral:ncRNA from 2 species